CACACUUGAAAUGAACGAGGAAGAAAAUGAACUAUGGCGGAAUCCAUGAGUGUACUACGUUUGUGACACCUGCCAACUGAUAGAUAACAUAAUACGCCUGGAAAGAUUACCAUUGAUAAGUCUCUAUGAGGAAUAAACAACAUGCCGCAGUACUACGAGGAUAAAGAAGAGGACCUUAGGGCGUGUGCUGGUGUAAGAGAAGACUUCAAGGCAUGUCUCCUUCAACACGACUGUGUCGUAAAGGAAGGGAAAUUGCCAAGCGAAUGCUUGAAAGAAGGCCAUUGCAAAGCCUUGCAGACUUCCUUCUUUGAGUGCAAGAGGUCAAUGCUAGACCCAAGGUCGCGAUUCCGUGGAAGAAAGGGAUAUUGACUCAUCCCUCUAAGGACUGUUUUUCUUCAGUAGCGAUCCUGUCACACAAUUGGGUGAAUAUUGGAUGACCCUUGUAAAUAGGGAUGCCAAGUUCAACAUGGAACCAGGCCUCGGCUGGGACGUCGACCGGAAUAACUCACGUCAUAACCUAAUAAAACGAUGACAACGGCGUAGCAUUCAAGAAUAAUGUUACAGAAAUCAAUGUACACCUGAUGUUAAUGUUUUAUUUUAUUAUAA